rnacentral:rRNA from 1 species
GAUGAACGCUGGCGGCGUGCCUAAUACAUGCAAGUCGAGCGAACAGACGAGGAGCUUGCUCCUCUGACGUUAGCGGCGGACGGGUGAGUAACACGUGGAUAACCUACCUAUAAGACUGGGAUAACUUCGGGAAACCGGAGCUAAUACCGGAUAAUAUGUUGAAUCGCAUGGUUCAACAGUGAAAGACGGUCUUGCUGUCACUUAUAGAUGGAUCCGCGCCGCAUUAGCUAGUUGGUAAGGUAACGGCUUACCAAGGCAACGAUGCGUAGCCGACCUGAGAGGGUGAUCGGCCACACUGGAACUGAGACACGAUCCAGACUCCUACGGGAGGCAGCAGUAGGGAAUCUUCCGCAAUGGGCGAAAGCCUGACGGAGCAACGCCGCGUGAGUGAAGAAGGUCUUCGGAUCGUAAAACUCUGUUAUUAGGGAAGAACAAAUGUGUAAGUAACUAUGCACGUCUUGACGGUACCUAAUCAGAAAGCCACGGCUAACUACGUG